UGGGUGAAGCUUGAAAAGUCCGUUCCGGCGGCGAUUUUUGCAAAUGAAUUUAUACUCCCUUCCAGAGUCAUCGAUGACAAGACUAUUCACCUUCCCACGGGUUCCAGAAAUGACCGCCAGCCGCGAGCUCAGCCGCGAGCUCAAGGAUAGGAACUGUGCAGGUUGGAACUGAGGCCACAGAGUAGAACCUCUUCACUCAACACACUUAAAAAGGAAUUCUAGGACUCAACUGGAUUCUGUCAGAUAGGAAGGGAUGUGCUGAGCUCUGCAAACCUCCUUCCGUUAUUGACAGAGGAGCCUGCUGGUGAGGGAAACAUGACCUUCACCUGCUCUGCCUUCAGUCGGUGACAACCCAGAGACAAACAUAAUUAUUUCGUGUACAAUAACCACUUAAUUUUGUGCACCACUCUAUUUACAGUCAGAAAAAAAUAAACAAACCAAAUUCUG